rnacentral:rRNA from 1 species
UACGUAGGGUGCAAGCGUUAAUCGGAGUUACUGGGCGUAAAGCGUGCGCAGGCGGUGAUGUAAGACAGAUGUGAAAUCCCCGGGCUCAACCUGGGAACUGCAUUUGUGACUGCAUCGCUGGAGUGCGGCAGAGGGGGAUGGAAUUCCGCGUGUAGCAGUGAAAUGCGUAGAUAUGCGGAGGAACACCGAUGGCGAAGGCAAUCCCCUGGGCCUGCACUGACGCUCAUGCACGAAAGCGUGGGGAGCAGACAGG